CCUACGGGUGGCAGCAGUGGGGAAUAUUGCACAAUGGGGGAAACCCUGAUGCAGCGACGCCGCGUGAGUGAAGAAGUAAUUCGUUACGUAAAGCUCUAUCAGCAGGGAAGAAACACUGACCUUACGGUCAGCAGACGGUACCUGAGUAAGAAGCCCCGGCUAACUACGUGCCAGCAGCCGCGGUAAUACGUAGGGGGCAAGCGUUAUCCGGAUUUACUGGGUGUAAAGGGCGUGUAGGCGGGCAUGCAAGCCAGAAGUGAAAUCUGGGGGCUUAACCCCCAAACUGCUUUUGGAACUGCGUGUCUUGAGUGAUGGAGAGGCAGGCGGAAUUCCCAGUGUAGCGGUGAAAUGCGUAGAUAUUGGGAGGAACACCAGUGGCGAAGGCGGCCUGCUGGACAUUAACUGACGCUGAGGCGCGAAAGCGUGGGGAGCAAACAGGAUUAGAUACCCGGGUAGUC
rnacentral:rRNA from 1 species